UGUGGGAGCGAGCCUGCUCGCGAUUGCGGUAGUUCAGUUAGCGUUGCUGGCGACUGACACACCGCAAUCGCGAGCAGGCUCGCUCCCACA
rnacentral:misc_RNA from 1 species